rnacentral:rRNA from 1 species
UGCCAGCCGCCGCGGUAAUACUGAGGGUGCAAGCGUUAAUCGGAAUCACUGGGCGUAAAGCGCACGUAGGCGGACUGAUCAGUUAGGGGUGAAAUCCCGGGGCUCAACCCCGGAACUGCCUCUAAUACUGCUAGUCUUGAGUUCGAGAGAGGUGAGUGGAAUUCCGAGUGUAGAGGUGAAGUUCGUAGAUAUUCGGAGGAACACCAGUGGCGAAGGCGGCUCACUGGCUCGAUACUGACGCUGAGAUGCGAAAGCGUGGGGAGCAAACAGGAUUAGAUA